CCUACGGGAGGCAGCAGUGGGGAAUAUUGGUCAAUGGGCGCAAGCCUGACCCAGCAACGCCGCGUGAAGGACGAAGGCUCUCGGGUUGUAAACUUCUUUUAUCAGGGACGAAGCAAGUGACGGUACCUGAUGAAUAAGCCACUGCUAACUACGUGCCAGCAGCCGCGGUAAUACGUAGGUGGCAAGCGUUAUCCGGAUUUACUGGGUGUAAAGGGCGUGUAGGCGGGAAAGCAAGUCAGAUGUGAAAACCAUGGGCUCAACCUGUGGCCUGCAUUUGAAACUGUUCUUCUUGAGUGCUGGUGAGGCAGACGGAAUGCAUGGUGUAGCGGUGAAAUGCGUAGAUAUUAGGAGGAACACCAGUGGCGAAGGCGGUCUGCUGGACAGCAACUGACGCUGAGGCGCGAAAGCGUGGGGAGCAAACAGGAUUAGAUACCCCGGUAGUC
rnacentral:rRNA from 1 species